UGCAUUUUUUGGUAAGACGAUGUUAACAAAAGUUGUUCGUCUUGAUGAGGGCUACAACUUUGCUUAAUAUCCUUUUAACAAAUUAUGCGUAUUUAAGAAGAUAGCGCUGCGCAUGCGCAGAACGUAACUCCUUACGCUUGCAUUUUUUGGUAAGACGAUGUUAACAAAAGUUGUUCGUCUUGAUGAGGGCUACAACUUUGCUUAAUAUCCUUUUAACAAAUUAUGCG
rnacentral:miRNA from 1 species